UGCGGGCGGUGCGGACUGUGCGGAACCGGGAGAGCUGCGGGAACGCUGGGGGACCGGAACCGGGAGCAGUGCAGGAUCGGGACCGGGGGCGGUGCGGGACCAGACUGGGAUCGGGAGCGGGAGCGGCGCGGAACCGGGACCAGGAGUGGUGCGGGAGAUGCGGAACCGGGACCGGGACCAGGAGCAGUGCGGGCGGUGCGGAACAGGGACCAGGAUCGAGAUUGCGGGCGGUAACAAGUGACAGGACGGGAGGAAAACGGCCUCAAGUUACACCAGGAUGUUAGGAACAGCAAUGAGUGGUUCCCUUAUGGCCUGUGAGACCAAAUAAUUCCGGUAACAGACCACUGCAGCUGCUUUGCUUCCUGAUGCUCAAGAAUCUGCACAUGCUGAAUCAUCCUCACAGCACACAGCACUGCUCUCAGACCCUCCAGGACUCCCUGUGCAUCCUACAAACUCAC